rnacentral:lncRNA from 1 species
UCUUUAGCCUACUGGGCUUUGUAGUGUAUAUUUUGUGAAUGAAAUGAAAAGGAGAUUUUGUGUUACCUCAUCCGCGUGUUGUAUUAAAUUGUCGUUCGUCGAACUUCUUUUGUCUUUUGACUUGUCUGACGUCGAUGUCGUUUGGAGGUGCCCAAUCAUCGCCAUGCUGAUUUGCUUUUCUGGUCGUCCAUGGCCAUAGGCUCGAGAACGGUGGUCCG